GACGAACGCUGGCGGCGUGCUUAAUACAUGCAAGUCGAACGGAAAGGCUCUGCUUUUGUGGGGUGCUCGAUUGGCGAACGGGUGAGUAACACGUGAGUAACCUGCCCUUGACUUUGGGAUAACUUCAGGUAACUGGGGCUAAUACCGGAUAGGAGCUCCUGCUGCAUGGUGGGGGUUGGAAAGUUUCGGCGGUUGGGGAUGGACUCGCGGCUUAUCAGCUUGUUGGUGGGGUAGUUGCUUACCAAGGCUUUGACGGGUAGCCGGCCUGAGAGGGUGACCGGCCACAUUGGGACUGAGAUACGGCCCAGACUGCUACGGGAGGCAGCAGUGGGAAAUAUUGCGCAAUGGGCGGAAGCCUGAAACAGCAGCGCCGCGUGCGGGAUGACGGCCUUCGGGUUGUAAACCGCUUUCGCCUGUGACGAAGCGUGAGUGACGGUAAUGGGUAAAGAAGCAACGGCUAACUACGUG
rnacentral:rRNA from 1 species